UAGGGAAUCUUCGGCAAUGGGGGCAACCCUGACCGAGCAACGCCGCGUGAGUGAAGAAGGUUUUCGGAUCGUAAAGCUCUGUUGUAAGUCAAGAACGAGUGUGAGAGUGGAAAGUUCACACUGUGACGGUAGCUUACCAGAAAGGGACGGCUAACUACGUGCCAGCAGCCGCGGUAAUACGUAGGUCCCGAGCGUUGUCCGGAUUUAUUGGGCGUAAGGCGAGCGCAGGCGGUUCGAUAAGUCUGAAGUUAAAGGCUGUGGCUCAACCAUAGUUCGCUUUGGAAACUGUCAAACUUGAGUGCAGAAGGGGAGAGUGGAAUUCCAUGUGUAGCGGUGAAAUGCGUAGAUAUAUGGAGGAACACCGGUGGCGAAAGCGGCUCUCUGGUCUGUAACUGACGCUGAGGCUCGAAAGCGUGGGGAGCGAACAGGAUUAGAUACCCUGGUAGUCCACGCCGUAAACGAUGAGUGCUAGGUGUUGGAUCCUUUCCGGGAUUCAGUGCCGCAGCUAACGCAUUAAGCACUCCGCCUGGGGAGUACGACCGCAAGGUUG
rnacentral:rRNA from 1 species